rnacentral:rRNA from 1 species
GACGAACGCUGGCGGCGUGCCUGACACAUGCAAGUCGGACGGUUCUUGCGCCUUCAAGCUUGCUUGUUGGUUCGAGGAUAGUGGCGGACGGGUGAGUAACGCGUGAACACCUACCCAUUGGAGGGGUACAACCCGUCGAAAGGCGGGCUAAUACCGCGUAAGCCGUGAGGUGAAAGGCUGCCUUUUGGUGGCUGCCGAUGGAUGGGUUCGCGUCCUAUCAGCUUGUUGGUGGGGUAAGGGCCUACCAAGGCUAAGACGGGUAGCCGGUCUGAGAGGAUGGCCGGCCACACUGGAACUGAGACACGGUCCAGACUCCUACGGGAGGCAGCAGUGGGGAAUAUUGGGCAAUGGGGGGAACCCUGACCCAGCGACGCCGCGUGAGGGACGAAGGUUUUCGGAUCGUAAACCUCUGUUGUACGGGAAGAAGGAUGUGACGGUACCGUACGAGUAAGUCCCGGCAAACUACGUG